rnacentral:rRNA from 1 species
GACGAACGCUGGCGGCGUGCCUAAUACAUGCAAGUAGAACGCACAGUUUAUACCGUAGCUUGCUCCACCAUAAACUGUGAGUUGCGAACGGGUGAGUAACGCGUAGGUAACCUGCCUGGUAGCGGGGGAUAACUAUUGGAAACGAUAGCUAAUACCGCAUAAUAUUGAUUAUUGCAUGAUAAUUGAUUGAAAGAUGCUAUUGCAUCACUACCAGAUGGACCUGCGUUGUAUUAGCUAGUAGGUGAGGUAACGGCUCACCUAGGCGACGAUACAUAGCCGACCUGAGAGGGUGAUCGGCCACACUGGGACUGAGACACGGCCCAGACUCCUACGGGAGGCAGCAGUAGGGAAUCUUCGGCAAUGGACGAAAGUCUGACCGAGCAACGCCGCGUGAGUGAAGAAGGUUUUCGGAUCGUAAAGCUCUGUUGUAAGAGAAGAACGGGUGUGAGAGCGGAAAGUUCACACUGUGACGGUAUCUUACCAGAAAGGGACGGCUAACUACGUG